GACGAACGCUGGCGGCGUGCUUAACACAUGCAAGUCGAACGAAAAGAGGGAAAGAGCUUGCUCUUUCCGGAAUUGAGUGGCAAACGGGUGAGUAACACGUAAACAACCUGCCUUCAGGAUGGGGACAACAGACGGAAACGACUGCUAAUACCGAAUAAGUUCCAAGGGCCGCAUGGCCCAUGGAAGAAAAGGUGGCCUCUACCUGUAAGCUAUCGCCUGAAGAGGGGUUUGCGUCUGAUUAGCUGGUUGGAGGGGUAACGGCCCACCAAGGCGACGAUCAGUAGCCGGUCUGAGAGGAUGAACGGCCACACUGGAACUGAGACACGGUCCAGACUCCUACGGGAGGCAGCAGUGGGGAAUCUUCCGCAAUGGGCGAAAGCCUGACGGAGCAACGCCGCGUGAGUGAUGAUGGCCUUCGGGUUGUAAAACUCUGUGAUCCGGGACGAAAAGGCAGAGUGCGAAGAACAAACUGCAUUGACGGUACCGGAAAAGCAAGCCACGGCUAACUACGUGCCAGCAGCCGCGGUAAUACGUAGGUGGCAAGCGUUGUCCGGAAUUAUUGGGCGUAAAGCGCGCGCAGGCGGCUUCCCAAGUCCCUCUUAAAAGUGCGGGGCUUAACCCCGUGAUGGGAAGGAAACUGGGAAGCUGGAGUAUCGGAGAGGAAAGUGGAAUUCCUAGUGUAGCGGUGAAAUGCGUAGAGAUUAGGAAGAACACCGGUGGCGAAGGCGACUUUCUGGACGAAAACUGACGCUGAGGCGC
rnacentral:rRNA from 1 species